CUGGACUACUUUUUACAACUUUGGCUCUUGACUUUCCUUCCCAGAAGGGGAAGAUGCACUGUCAGCCUGUCUUGUGAUCAGGCUGUAUCCUUUUGUUACCCUGAUAAAUGUCAGCUGACCAGGCUGGGAUGUGAAAAAGCUCCAUCUCUACCAGAUCUUUGCUGCUCUUCCUCUCUCAGUAUUGGUGCAGGGAAGAGCCCAGCAUCUCCCCACCUGAGCGGUGCUUGCAGACUUUGCCUGGCCCUACAAGGUCCCCAUCUCCUCCAUGCCCUGCUGUGGUCCCCCAAUGUCCUCCAAAACCAUUUCUCUUUGCCUGCUCCUGUCCCCCAAAUUCUCCCUGCCUUCUCCCUUCAGAUCCUUCCUCCCAGCUGGAUGCUACAGGCAGUGCUUUGGCCUCCAUGCUCAUUGCUGCUAGGAUCUAAUCUGGCUACUGUGCUCUGGAAGAGGAGGAGAGCGAGCCAGCAGGAGAGAGAGGAGAGAGCGAGGACCAUCGCAGGUAUUGUUGCAAGCUACAUCUUUGUGCUUUUUUUUUUUUUCUCCUUUUUUAAUUUUUUUUUUUUUUUUUUUUUUUGCUGCUGAAGCCGCAGCAGAAUUGGAAUUGGGGGCGGUGGGUGAGUGAGGGGUGUACGGACAGAGCUUUUUCCGGAUUUAUUUUUUUCUCUCGUGCAACUCGUGUGCUGCUGCGAUUGAAUGGAUGCACGGCGCCGGCAUCGCGGAG
rnacentral:lncRNA from 1 species